AGGAGGUUAUUGAAAGGACAUCACCACAAACUGACCUGCCGGCGAGAUCCGGGCACCGGGAAGCUCCUCAGGCCCCCACCCUACCUCACUCCUCCAUCUUUGGAAUGUUCCGCCCACCCACCAUUUCUGCAUAAGGAGCUGUUCCAAGGACGCAUCCUUGAGAGAGUAAGGUGUUGCUGAGACCAUCUGGAUGGGAUACGUUACUCAGCCCAGUUAAGGCCUCUAUAUAAACUUUGAAGAUUCUGGCGGCGGGUGCGGAGACCCACUCGUCUUGCGGCGGCCGUCCUAGACAAGCCUGGUAAAAACUUCUCCUCCCCAAGUGUGCACCCAGGUUUAGCCACUGUGUUGAUCCACAUUGGUAGAAGAAAUAUGAACCUCACUAAUGACUCUUCCUCUAGCCAUUCCCAUUCAUUUAAGAGGAGAAUUACAAUGAGCAGAAGAAUGCAUAAACUUAGAUUCUCAAGGUCAUCUCAAAUCCUGAAGUCCCUGGUUUCUG